CAUACUUUAUCGGGACAAAGAUUAAUUUUGGUAUGUGAUUGUCAAUGAUUCAAAGAAUUUUACAUACGAAACAUUAUUUCACUAAAUAAAUCAUUUCUUACAUUUUUGAAUCCAAUGUAGUUUUAGGUGUAUACCAUUACAUUAAUCUUAUGGGUUGCAUUUUGUUGUUUUGCAAGCUGCUUCAAUUUUUCUUUUCAAAAAAAGAAAGACAUUAAGAAAGAAGACAUACAACACCAUAUAGACCAUAUUGACAUCACGUGUUCUCCCAUUUUCAUACAAAUCAUCCCACAAAACUCAGGCGCACGCGGUUUAUGGCUUUUGAGUAGCACCUGCAGCCAUGGUGAGGAAAUAUUUUUCUAAAAAAUGACAUGGAGAAG
rnacentral:lncRNA from 1 species